UGAGGAAUCUUCCACAAUGGGCGAAAGCCUGAUGGAGCAACGCCGCGUGCGGGAUGAAGGCCUUCGGGUUGUAAACCGCUUUUGUUAGCGAAGAAUUUGACGGUAACUAACGAAUAAGCAUCGGCUAACUCCGUGCCAGCAGCCGCGGUCAUACGGAGGAUGCAAGCGUUAUCCGGAGUGACUGGGCGUAAAGAGUUGCGUAGGUGGUUAUGUAAGCGAAUAGUGAAAUCUGGUGGCUCAACCAUACAGACUAUUGUUCGAACUGCAUAACUCGAGAGUGGUAGAGGUAGCUGGAAUUUCUAGUGUAGGAGUGAAAUCCGUAGAUAUUAGAAGGAACACCAAUGGCGUAGGCAGGCUACUGGACCAUUUCUGACACUAAGGCACGAAAGCGUGGGGAGCG
rnacentral:rRNA from 1 species